CAGCGCGUAGCUUAAUCAAGCCAUAGCAUCUCACUUACACCGAGAAGAUGCCCGUGCAAACCGGGCCGCACUGA
rnacentral:tRNA from 1 species